ACGUAGGGUGCAAGCGUUGUCCGGAAUUACUGGGUGUAAAGGGAGCGCAGGCGGACCGGCAAGUUGGAAGUGAAAUCUAUGGGCUCAACCCAUAAAUUGCUUUCAAAACUGCUGGCCUUGAGUAGUGCAGAGGUAGGUGGAAUUCCCGGUGUAGCGGUGGAAUGCGUAGAUAUCGGGAGGAACACCAGUGGCGAAGGCGACCUACUGGGCACCAACUGACGCUGAGGCUCGAAAGCAUGGGUAGCAAACAGGAUUAGAUACCCUGGUAGUCCAUGCCGUAAACGAUGAUUACUAGGUGUUGGAGGAUUGACCCCUUCAGUGCCGCAGUUAACACAAUAAGUAAUCCACCUGGGGAGUACGACCGCAAGGUUG
rnacentral:rRNA from 1 species